AGCGAACGUUAGCGGCGGGCCUAACACGUGCAAGUCGAACGAGAAAGUGGACUUCGGUCCGCGAGUAAAGUGGCAGACGGGUGCGUAACACGUGGGUAAUCAACCCUGUGGCGGGGGACAACAUUCCGAAAGGGGUGCUAAUACCGCAUAAGUCUGAGUCUUCUUCGGGGGAUUCAGGGAAAGGGGGCUUCGGCUCUCACCACAGGACGAGCUCGCGGCCCAUCAGCUAGUUGGCGAGGUAAUGGCUCACCAAGGCAAAGACGGGUAGCUGGUCUGAGAGGAUGAUCAGCCACACUGGAACUGCGACACGGUCCAG
rnacentral:rRNA from 1 species